rnacentral:rRNA from 1 species
ACCCGCUGAACUUAAGCAUAUCAAUAAGCGGAGGAAAGGAAACCAACAGGGAUUGCCCUAGUAACGGCGAGUGAAGCGGCAACAGCUCAAAUUUGAAAUCUGGCUCUUUCAGAGUCCGAGUUGUAAUUUGCAGAGGGCGCUUUGGCGUUGGCAGCGGUCCAAGUUCCUUGGAACAGGACGUCACAGAGGGUGAAAAUCCCGUACGUGGUCGCUAACCUUCGCCGUGUAAAGCCCCUUCGACGAGUCGAGUUGUUUGGGAAUGCAGCUCUAAAUGGGAGGUAAAUUUCUUCUAAAGCUAAAUACUGGCCAGAGACCGAUAGCGCACAAGUAGAGUGAUCGAAAGAUGAAAAGCACUUUGGAAAGAGAGUCAAAUAGCACGUGAAAUUGUUGAAAGGGAAGCGCUUGCAGCCAGACUUGCCUGUAGUUGCUCAUCCGGGCUUUUGCCCGGUGCACUCUUCUGCGGGCAGGCCAGCAUCAGUUUGGGCGGUUGGAUAAAGGUCUCUGUCAUGUACCUCUCUUCGGGGAGGCCUUAUAGGGGAGACGACAUGCAACCAGCCUGGACUGAGGUCCGCGCAUCUGCUAGGAUGCUGGCGUAAUGGCUGU